UAUCUUUAGUAAAGUGGCGCACGGGUGCGUAACACGUAAGCAAUCUACCUUUGGGUCUGGAAUAACUUCGAGAAAUCGAGGCUAAUACCGGAUAAUGCAGCGGCACCGCAUGGUGAUGUUGUUAAAGUUUAAGUAAUGCCUAUAGAUGAGCUUGCGCCUGAUUAGCUAGUUGGUAGGGUAAAGGCCUACCAAGGCUACGAUCAGUAGCUGGUCUGAGAGGAUGAUCAGUCACACUGGAACUGAGACACGGUCCAGACUCCUACGGGAGGCAGCAGUGAGGAAUAUUGGGCAAUGCCCGCAAGGGUGACCCAGCAACGCCGCGUGGAGGAUGAAGGCCGUAAGGUUGUAAACUCCUGUUAGAGGAGAAGAACAGUACCGAUUGGAUCGGUAUUCGACUGUACCCUCAGAGAAAGCCCCGGCUAACUACGUGCCAGCAGCCGCAGUAAUACGUAGGGGGCAAGCGUUGUCCGGAUUUACUGGGUGUAAAGGGCGCGCAGGCGGGAUAGCAAGUCAGAGGUGAAAUCCUACAGCUUAACUGUAGAACUGCCUUUGAUACUGUUAUUCUUGAGUUCGGGAGAGAGAGACGGAAUUCCAGGUGUAGUGGUGAAAUACGUAGAUAUCUGGAAGAACACCAGUUGCGAAGGCGGUCUCUUGGUCCGAUACUGACGCUGAGGCGCGAAAGCGUGGGGAGCAAACAGGAUUAGAUACCCUGGUAGUCCACGCUGUAAACGAUGAAUACUAGGUGUUGGGUUUU
rnacentral:rRNA from 1 species